rnacentral:ncRNA from 2 species
AUACGUCACCAGGGGUGCUGUGAGAGUCAAAUCUCGAUGCUGAGAGAACAACUGUUCAACCCUUUAUACCUGAUCUGGGUAAAGCCAGCGGAGGGAGAGCCGACAAAUGGAAGAU